UUUCUGACGUUAUGUUCGAUUUGAGUGUUUUAUAAUUCAUUAUUAUCAAAAUUAUUGUUUAGAAAUGAAUCGUAAAGCUGCCAUUACAAGGAAUGUGCCGCAGCAAUCAUGUCAGGCGACCGUAUUCCAACCGCCGACGAACUUGCUGCCGCCGAUAGAUCCAGUACAUCCGACUGAGCCUUUGACACCUGGAGUACCUCCACCUACCACUGCGAAAAUCUUUAUCAAGACUAAAUCUACUAAGAAGACUAAAGAAGAUGACAAGAGAAUCGCUUAAAUUAGAUACAUAUUGUUAAACUGGCCAAUGUACAGUGAAUCGAUGGUUUCUAUGAAUUAUCGUAUGCUUGAGACGUAAAUACAAGAUAAAACUUUAAACGAUAAAAUGACCUCAAACAUUUACAUACAAUACAAUCACAUGCCACGAUAUUCUGUAGAUACCAUCGUUAUGUGAUAAGCAAAAACAAGAAAUAUAUGUGAAAAAUCAAGAUAUUAACUAUAAUGGUCCUUCAAAAAUUUAAUAAUAUUGCGCCUUUAUAUGGUAGAUUACGGAAAAUAUAACCUAAGAAUUAAAAAAACAUAUUAUGUAUUCCUCGAAUAGUUAAAUUCUAGUUAUAAGUUGUUUAAAAAUUAUUUUAUUUGGAUUUAAGAAGUCAACUGGAUUCAAUGUCAACUUUAGUGCAAAAAACAUUUAUGUAAUAUUGCUAUGAUAUUUUAGUAGGCGUAUUAAAAUUUCAUUAUUGAAAGUAAAUAAAGAAACCAGUAUGAAAUAUAAGAUGUUUCUCCGUUGUUAGUGUAGAACCGGACGCAGUUAAUUUCGUAAACAGGUUAAGGACUAAGACUAAAUGGAAUAAUAAUACUUAAUUCGUUUAUAGAUAAAAAAAUACUAAGCUAGUAUUAUAUUACUUUUGUUCUGAGAAAACAUCACAAUUUGCAUAGCAACAACUUAAAAUAAACAAUAAUAGUAAA